GGUAGUCCACGCCGUAAACGAUGUCGACUUGGAGGUUGUGCCCUUGAGGCGUGGCUUCCGGAGCUAACGCGUUAAGUCGACCGCCUGGGGAGUACGGCCGCAAGGUUAAAACCCAAAUGAAUUGACGGGGGCCCGCACAAGCGGUGGAGCAUGUGGUUUAAUUCGAUGCAACGCGAAGAACCUUACCUACUCUUGACAUCCAGAGAACUUAGCAGAGAUGCUUUGGUGCCUUCGGGAACUCUGAGACAGGUGCUGCAUGGCUGUCGUCAGUUCGUGUUGUGAAAUGUUGGGUUAAGUCCCGCAACGAGCGCAACCCUUAUCCUUUGUUGCCAGCGGUUAGGCCGGGAACUCAAAGGAGACUGCCAGUGAUAAACUGGAGGAAGGUGGGGAUGACGUCAAGUCAUCAUGGCCCUUACGAGUAGGGCUACACACGUGCUACAAUGGCGCAUACAAAGAGAAGCGACCUCGCGAGAGCAAGCGGACCUCAUAAAGUGCGUCGUAGUCCGGAUUGGAGUCUGCAACUCGACUCCAUGAAGUCGGAAUCGCUAGUAAUCGUAGAUCAGAAUGCUACGGUGAAUACGUUCCCGGGCCUUGUACACACCGCCCGUCACACCAUGGGAGUGGGUUGCAAAAGAAGUAGGUAGCUUAACCUUCGGGAGGGCGCUUACCACUUUGUGAUUCAUGACUGGGGUGAAGUCGUAACAAGGUAACCGUAGGGGAACCUGC
rnacentral:rRNA from 1 species